GGGAGCUUGCUCCUGGGUGACGAGCGGCGGACCGGUGAGUAAUGUCUGGGAAACUGCCUGAUGGAGGGGGAUAACUACUGGAAACGGUAGCUAAUACCGCGUAACGUCGCAAGACCAAAGAGGGGGACCUUCGGGCCUCUUGCCAUCAGAUGUGCCCAGAUGGGAUUAGCUAGUAGGUGGGGUAACGGCUCACCAAGGCGACGAUCCCUAGCUGGUCUGAGAGGAUGACCAGCCACACUGGAACUGAGACACGGUCCAGACUCCUACGGGAGGCAGCAGUGGGGAAUAUUGCACAAUGGGCGCAAGCCUGAUGCAGCCAUGCCGCGUGUAUGAAGAAGGCCUUCGGGUUGUAAAGUACUUUCAGCGGGGAGGAAGGCGUUGAGGUUAAUAACCUCAUCGAUUGACGUUACCCGCAGAAGAAGCACCGGCUAACUCCGUGCCAGCAGCCGCGGUAAUACGGAGGGUGCAAGCGUUAAUCGGAAUUACUGGGCGUAUAGCGCACGCAGGCGGUCUGUCAAGUCGGAUGUGAAAUCCCCGGGCUUAACCUGGGAACUG
rnacentral:rRNA from 1 species